CACUGUGAGGAGGAGUCAAUGCAAAACUCAGAUGUCUUCCACCUCUACUUAUCUGACUGCAGAGAGGAUGACAGAGAACAGUGGACACACAGUUUAACAUGAUGGACUAUAGGACAGGACUGCUGCUUUUAACUCUCUGCUGGGCAGGUGUCGAUGGUCAGACUCUGACAGAAUCUGAACCAGUGGUUAAAAGACCUGGAGAAUCCCACAGACUGACCUGUACAGGCUCUGGAUUCAUAUUCAGCAGCCUGUAUCUAGCCUGGAUUAGACAGGCUCCUGGAAAAGGACUGGAGUGGAUCGCUUAUAUCAAUACUGGUGGCGGCUACAAAUCUUACUCUCAGUCAGUCUUAGGCCGGUUUGCCAUCUCCAAGGACCACAGCAGAGAGCAGGUGUAUCUGCAGAUGAACAGUCUGAAGACUGAAGAUUCUGCUGUUUAUUAUUGUGCCAGCCACAGUGACUGGAGUUGGUUGAGCAGCUGUACAAAAUCCUGCUUUACUCAUCUUCACUGGGUUGAUAGACAGGAAUAA